UACGUAGGGUGCAAGCGUUGUCCGGAAUUAUUGGGCGUAAAGAGCUCGUAGGCGGUCUGCCGCGUCGGCUGUGAAACCCCGGGGCUCAACCCCGGGCCUGCAGUCGAUACGGGCAGACUAGAGUUCGGUAGGGGAGACUGGAAUUCCUGGUGUAGCGGUGAAAUGCGCAGAUAUCAGGAGGAACACCGGUGGCGAAGGCAGGUCUCUGGGCCGAUACUGACGCUGAGGAGCGAAAGCGUGGGGAGCGAACAGG
rnacentral:rRNA from 1 species